AAUAUUGGACAAUGGGCGAAAGCCUGAUCCAGCCAUGCCGCGUGUGUGAAGAAGGUCUUCGGAUUGUAAAGCACUUUAAGUUGGGAGGAAGGGUUGUAGGUUAAUACCCUGUAAUUUUGACGUUACCAACAGAUUAAGCACCGGCUAACUUCGUGUCAUCAGCCGCGGUAAAACGAAGGGUGCAACCGUUAAUCGGAAUUACUUGGUGUAAAGAGCGCGUAGGUGGUUCGUUAAGUUGGAAGUGAAAGCCCCGGGCUUAACCUGGGAAUUGCUUUCAAAACUGACGAGCUAGAGUACGGUAGAGGGUAGUGGAAUUUCCUGUGUAGCGGUGAAAUGCGUAGAUAUAGGAAGGAACAUCAGUGGCGAAGGCGACUACCUGGACUGAUACUGACACUGAGGUGCGAAAGCGUGGGGAGCAAACAGG
rnacentral:rRNA from 1 species